GACUAUCAGUUGACUGAAGGCCUCCAGGAGGUAGAUUGGUCCAGGGAGAGGGCACUGCAAGAGAAGUGAUAAUCAUAAUGAAAAACAAGCUCCAUCUGAUUUCAGUGAUAAAUGGCACUGAAACAAAGAGCAGGCUAAUUUUGAGGCAACAAAAGGCUGGUAAAUCCAUAGAUGUUCAUGACCACUCAUGCAGAAAUGAAAUAUUUAACUACAAGGGUAUCUUGUAUUUGGGAAGUUAUUUGCUGACAUUUAAUUCUCUGAUCCUUUCAGUCCAUACAAAAUUAUUUGCACACAGAAAAUAAGAGAAAGUCCGAGGACUAGAGUACAAAGACCAGAGACUUACAGUCUUACUAUUUCUUUCAAAAUUUCUACUUUGAGAAUUGAUUUUGGACUCUGUUGUGAAAAAGAACAUAUGAUCUUCCCCUUUCGCCCAAGAAAUAUUGCAAGGCGUAUUGGAGGGCAGAAUCGCAACCAACAAUUUGCAAAAUUAAAACAGUUCUUCUGAUAUGAUGUUGAGGUAGGUGUUACUUCUUUUAUGAGGUCUCUGGACAUGUAAACUAAGUUAAUUUUUCAAUACUGACUUUUCAACCACAAUAUAUUUCCCAUCUCUUUUCUUAAAGUAGUGGAAUUAAUUUACUUUAUAAUAGCAUCCUGGAGUUCCUGUGUAUUGA